CACCGCGGUUAUACGAGAGGCCCAAGUUGAUAGACACCGGCGUAAAGAGUGGUUAAGAAAAAAUUAAUACUAAAGCCGAACACCUCCCGAGCUGUUAUACGCACCCGAAGGUAAGAAGCCCAAUCACGAAAGUGGCUUUAAUAUAUCCGAAUCCACGAAAGCUAUGGCA
rnacentral:rRNA from 1 species